GUGCCGAGCCGCCGCGGUAAUACCGGCAGCUCAAGUGAUGUCCCAUAUUAUUGGGCCUAAAGCGUCCGUAGCUGGCUGCGCAAGUCCGUCGGGAAAUCCACUCGCCCAACGAGUGGGCGUCCGACGGAAACUGCACAGCUUGGGACCGGAAGGCUCGAAGGGUACGUUCGGGGUAGGAGUGAAAUCCCAUAAUCCCGCACGGACCACCGAUGGCGAAAGCACUUCGAGAAAACGGAUCCGUCAGUGAGGGACGAAAGCCAGGGUCUCCAACCGGAUUAGAUACCCGGGUAGUCC
rnacentral:rRNA from 1 species